rnacentral:lncRNA from 1 species
UCCUGAAUUUGAUCCCGGUACCCCAAAAAAAGGUAGGUAUUUUAAUCAUGAUCACCGUUAUUAAUAUUAUAUAUUCUUAGUAGAUUAUAUAUCCCCAGAACAAAAAUUAUGUUAAUUAUAAAUGAAACAGUGCUAGGUUCCUGAAAUUACUUGGAUCACAUCAGCAUGGACUGUAGUGGAGGGGACAAGCUUGCGGCUGACUGGUGUGGAGGCUGAGGACGUUUAUCUGCUGCAGAGCUUGGGAUUUGUGUAGGCUGUGGUCUACCUUCAAGGCUUCAGUAUCCUCAUGAAGCCCAGGCGAGGGCUGGAGCCAGCAAGCAAGGCUAAAUGAGAGGGUGAGGAUGAAUAGGGAAAACCUAGCCGCAGGACAGUGCUAUCCCAAGUCAAGGGAUAGGAAAAUCUAGGCUGCAGGGCCUCAGAGCUGAACAAUUCCUGGGAGUGAGACUAGCAGGAACUCUGCCAACCUUUGGGAUCUUAAAUAAGAGGCAGGGCAUGGGGGAAUGAAGAAAAUGUCCUAGUAUAAUUUGGACUGUAAUUAUCUCCUAAAAGCCUGUAGUUUAAAGGUUUGGCUCCAGAAUGGCACUAUUCGGAAAUUCUGAAACUCAGGAAAAUUAGGACCUAGUGGGAGGUCUUUCGGUAGUUGGAGACAUGUCCUUGAAGGGAAAGUGGGAUCUGGAUCACUUCCUCUUUCUCUUUUGCUUCUUGGGACCGAGGUGAACUCUACAACAUGCACUAAUCAUGAUGUGCUGCCGCAUCCAAACCAAUGGGCCCAACUGAUCAUUGGCUGAAACCCGGAAAACCAUGAGCCAAAACCAACCUUUUCUCUUCAUAAGCUGAUUCUCAGCAGAAAGCUGACUAAGCCCAGCUUUGGUAGGCAGCCUGAAAUUGCUCAUCAAGGAAAAAGACCAGGCUUGGAUUUUAAAUGGCUUCUUCUGAAUGAAGC